rnacentral:other from 1 species
ACCUGGAAUGUUCGACACUCUUACUUUAUUUGAACCUACACUAUGACAUCGGGAUUCCAAUAUUUUCAGGCGGAUGCCGGGCCUCCUUUGAGUGGAUGGCAGAAACCUGAGUGAGGUUGCCCACCUAGCUUUGCUAGGGGUCAAUUAGUAAGAAACGGCAUUUUGGGGUU